CAGCCUCCUGAGUAGCUGGGACUACAGGUUUUAAAAAAUUUUUUUAGACAUGGGGUUUUGCUAUGUUGCCCAGGCUGCUCUUGAACUCCUGGCCUCAAGCAACCCUCCUGCCUUUGCCUUAACUAUACCUUUUUAAGUUUGAAUUACAUAUAUAACAUAUUAAAUUUAAGGAUAUUCUGUAAAUAAAAAGAAAAAAUAUUAAGAAAAGAUUCUAGGUUGUUAGUCACAUUGCUGAUUAGCCAAGCAGCAUCAGUCCUAGUUGUGUCAGGUAAGUACAUUUCCACCAUUGUUCAAAAACAAGUAAGGUUGUCCAUAUACCUCUUUCCGUCCCCAGCAAGUAUCUUAGGCCCAAAGUGAGAUGCAGCAACA
rnacentral:pre_miRNA from 1 species